AUUGAACGCUGGCGGCAUGCCUUACACAUGCAAGUCGAACGGUAGCGGGCCUUCGGGUGCCGACGAGUGGCGAACGGGUGAGUAAUGUAUCGGAACGUACCUUUCAGUGGGGGAUAACGUAGCGAAAGUUACGCUAAUACCGCAUAUUCUGUGCGCAGGAAAGCAGGGGAUCGCAAGACCUUGCGCUGAUUGAGCGGCCGAUAUCAGAUUAGCUAGUUGGUGAGGUGAAGGCUCACCAAGGCGACGAUCUGUAGCGGGUCUGAGAGGAUGAUCCGCCACAAUGGAACUGAGGCAAGGGCCAGAGUCCCACGGGAGGCAGGAGUGGGGAAUUUUGGACAAUGGGGGCAACCCUGGUCCAGCCAUGCCGCGUGAGUGAAGAAGGCCUUCGGGUUGUAAAGCUCUUUCGGCCGGGAAGAAAUCGUAUCAGCUAAUACCUGGUGCGGAUGACGGUGCCGGCAUAAGAAGCACCGGCUAACUACGUGCCAGCCGCCGCCGUAACAC
rnacentral:rRNA from 1 species